AGAAAUUCAGAACAAUUCUAGAUUUUUUCCUUGGUUUGAAGACUUCAUAGGAGCUAUAGAUGGGACCCAUGUACGUGCAUCUGUUCCUCUUGAUAUGCAAGAGAGAUUUCGGGGAAGAAAGGAUAAGACAACACAAAAUGUUCUAGCAGCUGUUGAUUUUGAUCUAAAGUUCACAUAUGUCCUUGCUGGUUGGGAGGGUUCCGCUCACGAUUCAAGGGUUUUGGGUGAUGCACUUAAAAAGGGGUUUAACGUUCCCGAAGGGAAAUACUAUCUUGCCGACGCUGGGUAUGGGAUCGUAAAGGUUUUAUGCCUCCAUUUAGACGUGUUCGUUACCACUUGAAAGAAUAUGCCAACAACCCUCCUGAGAAUGAACGAGAAUUAUUCAAUCUGCGCCAUUCUUCACUCAGAAUGUGUAUAGAGAGGGCGUUUGGAGUUUUGAAAAAGAGAUUUCGUGUCUUGGAUGCAGAGCCAUUUUGGUCAUUUGAAACCCAAGUGGAUGUGGUUCUGGCUUGUUGUGUAAUACAUAACUACCUUAGGGGGUUGAUCCAAAUGAUGAAAUUACAAGAGAGGCGGAUUUAGAGAUUGCAUCACAAGAUACAAGAACAUCACUUUCUAGGAAGGAAGUGCGUGAAGAAACCAAAGAGUGUGUGAAAAAGCGUGAUGCCAUAGCAUUGGCUAUGUGGAAUUCAUACAAAAAGCGUCGAACUAAUUAAAAUUGUAAUUUUUUUAUUUCUUAAUUUAGUGAAGUUGUAUUAGUACUGAUUUUGCUCGUUCUUAUUAUUACAAAAGGCAACAUGAGUAUUGCUUAAUUUGGUGAA